AUAUCAAUAAGCGGAGGAAAAGAAACCAACAGGGAUUGCCCUAGUAACGGCGAGUGAAGCGGCAGCAGCUCAAAUUUGAAGUCUGGCUUCGGCCCGAGUUGUAAUUUGUAGAGGAUGCUUUUGGUGCGGUGCCUUCUGAGUUCCCUGGAACGGGACGCCAUAGGAGGGUGAGACCGCCCG
rnacentral:rRNA from 1 species